UCCUAUGUGGCUUAGUUGGUAGAACAUGGUGCUUGCAACACCAGGGUUGUGGGUUCAUAUCCCACAGAGGAC
rnacentral:tRNA from 1 species